rnacentral:tRNA from 1 species
GACUUGUGGCUCAAUGGUUGAGCAUCGGCUAGGCAUGCUGUGAAGUAAAGGUUCGAUUCCUUACAGAGUUA